GGGAGCUGCUCUUGGUGCCUUAUAAAGCCAGGAGGAUGCUGUGCUGGUGGUUUUCUGCAUAUUCAGUGAUGUGGCAGGAUGGGACAGACGUUACCUGCCAGUGUUACAACAUCAAAAACUUAUUUACAACUUCUUGCAUUGGGAAAAGCUUUUGGGUUUUAGUGAUUUAAUAAAAGAUCCUGUCUGGUUUA